GACGUAGGGCGCGAGCGUUGUCCGGAUUUACUGGGCGUAAAGAGCGCGUAGGCGGCUCGUUAAGUGUAGAGUGAAAUCUCUGGGCUCACCCCAGAAACUGCUCUGCAUACUGGCGAGCUGGAGUGAUGAAGAGGUUUGUGGAAUUCCUGGUGUAACGGUGAAAUGUGUUGAUAUCAGGAGGAACACCCAUGGCGAAGGCAGCAAACUGGUCAUCAACUGACGCUGAGGCGCGAAAGCGUGGGUAGCAAACAGG
rnacentral:rRNA from 1 species